rnacentral:piRNA from 1 species
UGUCAUGGGAUUCUCAAUUAA